GUAGGUGGCAAGCGUUGUCCGGAAUUAUUGGGCGUAAAGCGCGCGCAGGCGGUUCUUUAAGUCUGAUGUGAAAGCCCACGGCUCAACCGUGGAGGGUCAUUGGAAACUGGAGAACUUGAGUACAGAAGAGGAAAGCGGAAUUCCACGUGUAGCGGUGAAAUGCGUAGAGAUGUGGAGGAACACCAGUAGCGAAGGCGGCUUUCUGGUCUGUAACUGACGCUGAGGCGCGAAAGCGUGGGGAGCAAACAGGAUUAGAUACCCUGGUAGUCCACGCCGUAAACGAUGAGUGCUAAGUGUUAGGGGGUUUCCGCCCCCCUUAGUGCUGCAGCUAACGCAUUAAGCACUCCGCCUGGGAGUACGGCCGCAAGGCUG
rnacentral:rRNA from 1 species